CCUACGGGAGGCAGCAGUAGGGAAUCUUCCGCAAUGGACGAAAGUCUGACGGAGCAACGCCGCGUGAACGAUGAAGGCCUUCGGGUCGUAAAGUUCUGUUGUUAGGGAAGAACAAGUGCUAGUUAAAUAAGCUGGCACCUUGACGGUACCUAACCAGAAAGCCACGGCUAACUACGUGCCAGCAGCCGCGGUAAUACGUAGGUGGCAAGCGUUGUCCGGAAUUAUUGGGCGUAAAGCGCGCGCAGGCGGUUUCUUAAGUCUGAUGUGAAAGCCCCCGGCUCAACCGGGGAGGGUCAUUGGAAACUGGGAAACUUGAGUGCAGAAGAGGAAAGUGGAAUUCCAAGUGUAGCGGUGAAAUGCGUAGAGAUUUGGAGGAACACCAGUGGCGAAGGCGACUUUCUGGUCUGUAACUGACGCUGAGGCGCGAAAGCGUGGGGAGCAAACAGGAUUAGAUACCCUGGUAGUCCACGCUGUAAACGAUGAGUGCUAAGUGUUAGAGGGUUUCCGCCCUUUAGUGCUGAAGUUAACGCAUUAAGCNCUCGCCGNGGAGGUACGGUCGCGAGAGAGAACGUAACUAAUAGUUAGUUAGUAGCGUUGAGAGNGCGACGGACGACGACGAGGGAGGAGG
rnacentral:rRNA from 1 species